rnacentral:rRNA from 1 species
UGGGGAAUAUUGGACAAUGGGGGAAACCCUGAUCCAGCCAUCCCGCGUGUGCGAUGAAGGCCUUCGGGUUGUAAAGCACUUUUGGCAGGAAAGAAACGUCAUGGGUUAAUACCCCGUGAAACUGACGGUACCUGCAGAAUAAGCACCGGCUAACUACGUGCCAGCAGCCGCGGUAAUACGUAGGGUGCAAGCGUUAAUCGGAAUUACUGGGCGUAAAGCGUGCGCAGGCGGUUCGGAAAGAAAGAUGUGAAAUCCCAGAGCUCAACGUUGGAACUGGAUGUUUAACUAGCGGGGUAGAGGGGGUCGGAGGGAGGGGGAAUUCCGCGUGUAGCAGUGAAAUGCGUAGAUAUGCGGAGGAACACCGAUGGCGAAGGCAGCCUCCUGGGAUAACACUGACGCUCAUGCACGAGAGCGUGGGGAGCAAACAGG